rnacentral:rRNA from 1 species
GGGGGGGGGGGGGGGGGGGGCUGGGAGAGGCGGGUCGGGCGGGGGGGUUCGGGGGCGGGCGGCGGGAGCACUUGGCGGCGGGCGGGGGAGGCACAGGUAAAGAGCCUGCCUCGUGGGCUGGGCCGACGAUUGGACGCGGUAGCUAAUGCCGGAUAACAGCGUUAACUGCAUGGUUGGUGGUGACUGGUUGGUUUUGCUAACACUAUGCGCUGGCUUUGCGGUGCAUUAGCUAGUUGGUGGGGUAAAGGCGUACCAAGGCGACGAGUCAUGUCCGACGUGAGAGGGGGAGCGGCCACAUGGGGACUGAGACACGGCCCAGACGCCUACGGGAGGCAGCAGUAGGGAAGCUUCCGCAAUGGGCGAAAGCCUGACGGAGCAACGCCGCGUGAGUGAAGAAGGAUUUCGGUUCGUAAAGCUCUGUUGUUAGGGAAGAACGAUUGUGUAGUAACUAUACACAGUAGAGACGGUACCUAACCAGAAAGCCACGGCUAACUACGUG